rnacentral:rRNA from 1 species
AUGCUGACAUAAGUAACGAUAAAGCGGGUGAAAAGCCCGCUCGCCGGAAGACCAAGGGUUCCUGUCCAACGUUAAUCGGGGCAGGGUGAGUCGACCCCUAAGGCGAGGCCGAAAGGCGUAGUCGAUGGGAAACAGGUUAAUAUUCCUGUACUUGGUGUUACUGCGAAGGGGGGACGGAGAAGGCUAUGUUGGCCGGGCGACGGUUGUCCCGGUUUAAGCGUGUAGGCUGGUUUUCCAGGCAAAUCCGGAAAAUCAAGGCUGAGGCGUGAUGACGAGGCACUACGGUGCUGAAGCAACAAAUGCCCUGCUUCCAGGAAAAGCCUCUAAGCAUCAGGUAACAUUAAAUCGUACCCCAAACCGACACAGGUGGUCAGGUAGAGAAUACCAAGGCGCUUGAGAGAACUCGGGUGAAGGAACUAGGCAAAAUGGUGCCGUAACUUCGGGAGAAGGCACGCUGAUAUGUAGGUGAAGUCCCUCGCGGAUGGAGCUGAAAUCAGUCGAAGAUACCAGCUGGCUGCAACUGUUUAUUAAAAACACAGCACUGUGCAAACACGAAAGUGGACGUAUACGGUGUGACGCCUGCCCGGUGCCGGAAGGUUAAUUGAUGGGGUUAGCGGUAACGCGAAGCUCUUGAUCGAAGCCCCGGUAAACGGCGGCCGUAACUAUAACGGUCCUAAGGUAGCGAAAUUCCUUGUCGGGUAAGUUCCGACCUGCACGAAUGGCGUAAUGAUGGCCAGGCUGUCUCCACCCGAGACUCAGUGAAAUUGAACUCGCUGUGAAGAUGCAGUGUACCCGCGGCAAGACGGAAAGACCCCGUGAACCUUUACUAUAGCUUGACACUGAACAUUGAGCCUUGAUGUGUAGGAUAGGUGGGAGGCUUUGAAGUGUGGACGCCAGUCUGCAUGGAGCCGACCUUGAAAUACCACCCUUUAAUGUUUGAUGUUCUAACGUUGACCCGUAAUCCGGGUUGCGGACAGUGUCUGGUGGGUAGUUUGACUGGGGCGGUCUCCUCCUAAAGAGUAACGGAGGAGCACGAAGGUUGGCUAAUCCUGGUCGGACAUCAGGAGGUUAGUGCAAUGGCAUAAGCCAGCUUGACUGCGAGCGUGACGGCGCGAGCAGGUGCGAAAGCAGGUCAUAGUGAUCCGGUGGUUCUGAAUGGAAGGGCCAUCGCUCAACGGAUAAAAGGUACUCCGGGGAUAACAGGCUGAUACCGCCCAAGAGUUCAUAUCGACGGCGGUGUUUGGCACCUCGAUGUCGGCUCAUCACAUCCUGGGGCUGAAGUAGGUCCCAAGGGUAUGGCUGUUCGCCAUUUAAAGUGGUACGCGAGCUGGGUUUAGAACGUCGUGAGACAGUUCGGUCCCUAUCUGCCGUGGGCGCUGGAGAACUGAGGGGGGCUGCUCCUAGUACGAGAGGACCGGAGUGGACGCAUCACUGGUGUUCGGGUUGUCAUGCCAAUGGCACUGCCCGGUAGCUAAAUGCGGAAGAGAUAAGUGCUGAAAGCAUCUAAGCACGAAACUUGCC